GACGAACGCUGGCGGCGUGCCUAAUACAUGCAAGUCGAACGCAGUGGGGACGGGUGAGUAACACGUGGGUAACCUCCCAUCAAAGGGGAUAACCCGUGGAAACAGGUGCAAAACCGACACUGGUGGAUGGACCCGCGGUGGUUUAGCUAGUUGGUGAGGUAACGGCUCACCAAGGCCACGAUGCAUAGCCGACCUGAGAGGGUGAUCGGCCACCCUGGGACUUAGACACGGUCCAGACGCCUACGGGAGGCAGCAGUAGGGAAUCGUCGGCAAUGGACGAAAGUCUGAUGGAGCAACGCCGCGUGAGUGAAGAAGGUUUUCGGAUCGUAAAGCACUGUUGUUAGAGAGGCGUUAUCUAACCAGAAAGCCACGGCUAACUACGUGCCAGCAGCCGCGGUAAUAC
rnacentral:rRNA from 1 species